rnacentral:lncRNA from 1 species
GGUGUACAGCGCUGGACAGUGAAAUUGAGAGCAAGGAGCUCUGACACUGCUUUUCCCGAGGCGGCUGUGCCGUCCUUCCGCAGUGUUCCUUGUCGGGGACACAGGCUGUCCAGCCGGGCAGCUUCGGUGUGAUGAGAUCUGGACAUGGUUCAGUCACCCUUCCUCACUCACGGGGAAUUGCGGUUCUCAAUACCAGGGCAGCUGACCCCCGGAGGGCAGCUCCGACUGGUGGAUUUGCUGACCCGUAGGCAGCCGCGUUACUGUUUCAGGACACGCUCAGUGCCUUCUGCCCAAGGUGGCUGGGGGCGAACCAUGCCUUUCCACCAGCCUCUAGCUCUGUAGUGUUGGAGACGGACACUUGUGCUCCCUGGAUCAUCUCCAGGCACUCCAGGGCCUGCCGGUGUUUGUUCUGGACCUCUUGGCAGGUCGUCACUUCAUCCAUCAGCAAAAGCAGGGACAGCAGAGCACCCAGAGGAUUUGCUCGAACAGGGUCUGUGUCGGUCUUUGCCAGGUUCAUGCUACGAUUUGGCUGUGCAGAUUCGUGAGGAUGAUCCAAACCCAAUCUGAUAGUCCCCGAGAGGACGAAGAUGAAUUUCUCCCUUGUCAUCGUCCCCUCCACCCCCACCCCACGUGUCCUGGAAGCUCUGGAGUCAGUGGGUCUGAUUUAUUCUUGGUGGCAACUAGGAGGGCCCUGGUGUGGAUGCAGCUGGUGAAUCUGCCUUGGCCUUGAGCUCUGACAGCCCUGAUCCCCACCAUUAUUCUUCUCUAUCCUGGACCCAGGAGGCAGUUCUUUGUUGACGGAAUUCAGGCCAGCGGCAGGGACCAGGUGACAUUUCCUUUUCAGGGUAGAAAAACCUUGUGUUCACUUUGACAAAGCUCCUGUGUUUGCCAAAGCCUUAGACGUGAAAAUGAACGCUGCUUUGCUCUCACCAACCUUGAAGGGAAGGGCAGCCUCUCUCAUCCAGAAAGUUUCCAUGAUGACAGCACUUCUGCCCACAUCUCUUCAUAAAUACAGCCAUCAGUGGCAUCUUAAAAAGUGGUGAUGACUGCUAAUAAAAGUCCUUUAUUCUGAUGUAACACUCAGUACUUUCCAAAGCACUGUGACUAUAAGAUUUGAUUCCUAAAUGUUUUAAAUGUGUUUACAGUUGUUAAACGUUCUGUUCUCAUUCUUAAAACCCAAAACAUGUGCACCCGUAUAGCAUAUCAAAUCUCCAAAUUUCUGAGUUUUCAUCACCCUUGCCCUUUUUAUUUUUCUCUUGCCCUUUGGUUGGCUGUUGUGAAUUACACAUUGUCUAGUACCUCAGAUGAUUUAAGUGUUUUAACAAUUUAAAUGUAUGUGAAGCAAGGGAAAAAUAAAUGCAGGGGAAUUCCAAGCCCUCUAACCAGUUGAAAUGAACCCAGUUGAACUACAGUACCUUAGACUUGGAAGGUAUUUCUCUCAAUAGAGAAGGAAAGGGAGCAAUCUAAGGGUGAGAUAAGCUGGGAAGAGCACAGCUGAGGUUUUUCUUAAAGGGACAGGAAAAUAAAAGAGGUAAGUAGACUGUUAGAGGCCUAUCCUACUGCUACAAGAAAAGAUGUGACAUAUGAACAUAUUGCUGUUGCCGUUGAAAUGGUUAUUCAAGGUCUAAGCAUUAACAAGGCAAGUGAAGUCUAGGCUUUUGAAAAGAAUGACGGCAGAGGUUUGGUUCUCACUGAGCACAGGUUUCUAGAUCCUUGUAUGACAGCUUUAAUUCAGAAAUCUCUUGAAGAUGAUUCACAAGCAGAAAAAUAAUGUGGGUAUAAAGAGGCAGGUUUUAUUGGCUCAGACACUUCCAGAGCAUUUGGCACAGGACUAAAACUGUCUGUUCUCAAGGCUAACUCACUUUUCAUUCAGCGCUGAUGUGCUUGGGACACAGGGCUCAUAGAGAAGGCAAAAAGGAAGAGGACUUGAUAUCUAUUGAGUAAGAUAGUGAAGCAUCUUGAAUGGAAAGUUGGUGAUUGGGGCUGACGUCAUUGCAUAUUCUUAAAUUCUACAAGAAGACAGGAAUAUCUCAAAUGUUAUUCUCUGAGGGGAACACCAUCCUCUCCUAUAUCCCUACGUGGUCAACAUCGAAUGAUUUAACAUCUUGGUGUUUUUUUUUUUUUUUUUUUUUUUAGGGCCGCGACCCAGGGCUUAUGGAGUUUCUCACGCUAGGGGUCCAAUCCACAGCCACAGCAACGCCAGAUCCUUAACUCACCGAGUGAGGCCAGGGAUCAAACCUGCCUCCUCAUGGAUGCAGUCGGGCUCGUUGACUGCUGAGUCACGAGGGGAGCUCCUAAUGAUUAAUAUCUUAAUGUGAGGCUUUUCAUACUUGAGUGUGGGGUCAAAUGCAGAAAUUUACACGCUGUGGUGAUGACCUGGCAUCCUGCUGAAGUUGAAACCAAAGGAUCAUCUCUGCCUUCCCUCCUCCCCUAAGAUGCUCCCGAGGCUCUUGUUCUGGUCUUUGUCAAUAGGAGCAUGGGGAUAGGUUUUGGGAAUGGGAGGUUGUAACUGGUAGGGGUUGAGACUGACUUGUGUGCUGUUUCAUGUGGGAAGGUAAUUUGGGCUCAGAAAAACUUGAGAUGGAGGAAAAUUCAACUUCACAAGUUCUUAUGGAGGUACACCACACCAGUUAAAGAGAGCUCAGAUGACAUUUGCCGAGAGAGUUGUAACUAUGUUGAGACACUUCUGAAUGAGAUUAAACAAAGAAGUUUGGGCAUUAAUAUUUUUGGCCUUUGGAAUUCCUAUGGACUUUAGAGAAAAAAAUAAUUUGAUUUUUGAAUUUAAAUUUUCCCUAUAGAUUUAAUAAAGGGCAGAGGUCAUCUUUGACCUUUUGUUUUCUGAUAUUGCAAUAUUGAAAUGUUUUUAUAUCACCUUUUAAAAAAUUUUAUUAUAGUUGAUUUACAGUGUUCUGUCAAUUUCUGCCAUACAGCAAAGUGACCGAGUUAUACAUUUAUAUACAUUCUUUUUUUUAACAUAAUUUUCCGUCAUGUUCCAUCACAAGGAACUCUAUCCAGUCUCUUGGGAUAGACCAUGAUGGAAGAUAAUAUAAUAAAAAGAAUGUAUGGAUAUGUAUGACUGGGUCACUUUGCUGUAAAGCAGAAAUAGGCACACCAUUGUAAAUCAACUAUAUGUUAAUAAAAAAGGAAGUGUGGUGAAAAUUUACUCAGCUUCCCUAAAAAUCUUCCAUAGUGUCUGCCCACUCAGGCUUAUUAGCUGACAGCAUUAGCAUUUACCCUAAAAUUAUUGAAUCAGAAUCUUCCUGGAUGGACUUCAGGAAUUUGUGAUUUUUAUGAUCUUGGUAGAUGAUUUCAGUGCACUGUUAGAUUUUAGUAAUUAGUCCACUUAGGAACUCUGCUUAUGUUGAAUAAUGAGGUUACUCUAUUUAAUUUAUCAUCUAUUUGUUAAUUAUUAGUUUAUUCUUUUGUGUUUGGAAAUAGCUCAAGCUGCAUGAGAUCUCUUACAACCCUCUUGCAAUUUUCUGUCUUGUCUGUGUGGCUCCCUGUUUCCAGAAGACCUCUCCCCCAAGGGUUCCUAGCUAAAUUCUGUACCAGCCCAAACCACAGAUAUCUUAAGGUUCAUUUCAAAGGCUACUUUUUAACUUCAUGUUUUCUCAUGCUAUGUUCCUGGGUUAACUCUCAGGUCACAACGUUUACUAAAGGGAAUUGUAUCUAGAUCUUCACAUCCAGAUUGAAAGCAUCUUGACGGCAGGAAGAUGCCUCGUUUAUCUUUGUGUCCCCUGGGUCCCUUGUGGGUUACCUUUUCUUGUCUUCAAGACUUGCCUAUAGGUCUGUUUGAGUGCCAGGCCUAUGUGUGCCUUUUCUCCUCACCAACUCCCCAUCCAUCCUCUCUCCCUUCAGUCCUGCUGAUUUUAAGACCUUGUAGGUGGUGUCUUUUGCUUCCCGAGUCUUCCUUCUUCUGUUAUCACUCUGUUUAUACAGAUGUCUCACUUGCUCUUUGAUUUUCACUAUUCCAGCUCCAAUUUUGCCAUUUUGGGAUCUUCUAGCUCUUCACUUCAAUAAGUAUGUGGCAGCAGGGGAGAUGGAGUUUUCUCUUUGAAGCCUCUGGCUUUAGUCUUCCUUGAGAGCUUUCUCUGUAUCAUUUUGAAAAAACAUGCCCUGCUGUUCUCUACCUCUUGAAAGAGGGGGAGGCCUUCCUAUUCCUGUUUUGAUCACUGGUUUUAAUCGUAUUUGAACAUUUCUUCCUAAUCCACCUGGAGAAUGUUCUUAUUGUGUAUAUAUUUAUGCCAAAUCCUCCAGCUCUCGAGCAAUUACUUUUGUGUAUGUGUGUGUGUGUGUGUGUGUGUGUGUGACCUGCCAGGAAAUUCUCUUUCACUUUACAUUUGACUACUUCUUUCUUGCACAUAAAUCUUAGUGCUGCUGAAGAGCCACAUUCUUCUUUGGCAAGUACGUUCUGGAUUGUCAUCUCUGAUUCUGGAGUGCUAGCAGUGCUAGCCAAGGAUUCUAAAUAUUUGGCUUUCCCAAAUCACGUUUGGAUCACUUCUAGCCUUGUCGCUUUGCACUAAGAUGUAGUUAUAAUCUCUUUUCCAAACCACAGGCCUUGUUGUCAGUAGGGAAAGUAUCAUUUCUUAAAUGUAUUUCAUUCCUUUUCUCGUUUUGCAGAAAAAAAUCAUCGGGGCUGGGAAGGCAGCCACAGGCUUUUCCAGAUUUUAUGUAAUGGCUCCUUUGAACAAGACAAAUGAUCAUCUAACACAAUCACAAUUUUAUUUUUUAUGAUUUUUUUUGGUCUUCCUUAGUCCCUUUGAAAUUUAUUUUGGGGGGGGAACCCCCUGCCCCUGCCUCCUUCUGCCUAUGACUCUCAUUCCCCUUAGGUGGUAGAAAGUUCUCACAUUGCUUACGUUGUGAACAAGUCUCAAACACGAGAAAGUCAGCUCUAAGAUGAACUGAUGACAUCUUUAUGUCAGGUUCUCUCUUCACCGGGGGGCUGGCCAGGGCUGGCAGUUGGCAGGGAUCCAGGGGGCUGGUUGGCUUCUUUUCUCUUUUUCUACCUGCCACUCCUUUCUCGCCAGCUUGCUAGCUAGCUGCUAACUCUUCCAAGUUCAGUGGUGAGAGAGGAGAGGAUAGGGAAGCUCUUACUCAGACUCGUCCGUUUGAGACUGGUUUCUCACUUGUUGGGAGUGGUGACUGGUUAAAGCUGAGCCUUUCUCUUUAGGGUGACAGUGACAUUUAUUUCAGAGGUGCUCAUCCUGGGGACCUUGCUCCGUUGUUUUGUUUUGUUUUGGGUUUUGACUGAGGAGCAUACGCUUUCUACUCCACUGGUCCUUCUGCAGUCUCUGGAAAUAGAGCAUUUAUGUCUCACUUUCUGUAGGGGUCCCUCUAGGCUUUUAGGCAGCCCCGGUGAAUAGAGCCAGGGCACCCUCAGUUUGGUGUUCUUUCACGUGUGGUCCCAUCUGCUCAUGCCAGGCAUCCAAUCAGCUACCCAUAUCACUUCAGGCUACUGAGCUUUCUUAGGCAUGUGUCAGGACCAGCCCACUGCUUCCAACAGUGGCAGGCACCUUCGAGCCACUAGCUGUUUACUGGAUGGUCAUUUCAAGUGUGCAAUAAAAUUGCUCUUCCUUCAAGGGUUGUCUGGGGAAAGGGCUCAUAUAAGGUUUUGUUAAGGAGGCAGGUGCAAAGUAACAAAAUCUGGCUCAGGAAAUCCAAGAUCCCACCCUUUGGCUUUAUUUGUUGUCAGUGUUUUCUUGCUCCCCGAGGCUGUGGCAGGCUUGUUCUCAUUUCCUACCAUUGGGUCUACAGGCAGCCAGUGUCCCUUGAGUUUCCUGCUUCCUUUGCCUCCCCCUAGUGGCCAAGCAUGUGUAGUCCCAGUGGGCAUCUCCCAUUCAAAGUGAGCUUCACUUUAUGUCUCACAACUACCAAGUAAAUGUGGAUCCUUUAUGGAUCUGGUGUUGUCACUGCAGCAGCCCAGGUCAUUACCAUGGUUGGAGUUUCAUCCAUGGCCCAGCAGCUUCCACAUGCCAGGGUGUGGCCGAAACCACAAUGGCAACAACAACAAAAACCAAUAUAAUACUUGGCAUUUUUCUUCCUGGUAUAGCAACGGAGCCCUUUCUUUUUGCUAGGUGAUGACUCAAUUUAAAAUUUCAUUUUUUUUCUCCAUUUGCUUCCAGCUGGCCUCCUUCUAGUCCUUUAAGAUCUCAGUCUUCUGUGCAGAUGUGUGGUUGCCAAGGGGUGGGGGUCAGGGCAGGGGUGGAUUGUGAGUUUGGGAUUGGCGAAUGCAAACUAUUAUAUAUAGAAUGGAGAAACAAGGUCCUGGGUAUAGCACAGGGAGCUGUAUUCAAUAUCAUGUGAUAAACCAUAAUGGAAAAGAAUAUGGGAAUUCCCGUUGUGGCUCAGCGGUAACGAACCUGACUAGUAUUCAUGAGGAUGCGGGUUUGAUCCCUGGCCUUGCUCAGUGGGUUAAGUAUCCAGUGUUGCCUUGAGCUGUGGUGUAGGUCGCAGAUGCGGCUCGGAUCCCGUGUUGCUGUGGCUGUGGUGUAGGCAGGCAGAUCAGCUCUAUUCGACCCCUAGCCCAGGAACGUCCAUAUGCCAUGUGCAGUCCUGAAAAGCAAAAAAAAAAAAAAAAAAAAAAAAAAAAAAA